CUUCCUUUCUCUUCCUCUUCAACCUACGGCCACACCACCAUCUCUUUUCUUCCUUCUCUUUUCCUUCUCCAAUCAACUUCACCACCGUCUUCCACCUACACCGAACGUCAAGCAAAUUUUGUCCUAUCGUCGCAUCACCGUUAGCCCGAGUCACUCCGGUUCCGUCACGCCAUGUAUGUUUAGAUCUGAAUUGUUUGGUUAUUUGUUGCACCGAUCCGUCUCCGUUAGAAUUUGAUUCUCCACAAUUUGGGUCGGUUCGUUGCACUUUAGUUUGAAAAAGAAGCUUAAGUAAGGUUAUAAGGCAAAGGUAACAAAUGAGGUAGACCGACGAGGGACAAGAAGGAGACGUGAUUGCCAUAAGGGAAGGUCCUUCAAAUGCUUCCGCUUUAUGUUUCUUGUUUUUCCUUUGUACAUGAGGUUGUUUAAAAAUUUUGUGAUGGAACUGAGUUUACAAACUGUUGUUUUGUGAAUAGUACUUUUAAAGUUUUGGUUAUUUGAAAUAGGGCCCAAACUUAAGUUUGUUUUCUUU